GGGGGGUUAGGGGUUAUGGGGCUAUAGGGCGGGGUUAGGGGGUGGGGGGUUUGUGGGGUGGGGGGGUUGGGGGGGUUAUGGGGCUAUAGGGUGGGGUUAUGGGGUGGGGGGGUUAUGGGGGUGGGUUGUGGGGGGGGUUAUGGGGCUAUAGGGUAGGGUUAUGGGGUGUUAUGGGGUGCUAUGGGGUGGUUAUGGAGUGGUUAUGGGGUGCUAUGGGGUGGCUAUGGGGGGGUUAUGGGGUUAUGGGGUGGAUAUGUGGUGGCGAUGGGGUGGAUAUGGGGUUCUGAUGGGGUUAUGGGGUGGCUAUGGGGGGGUUAUAGGGUGGUUAUGGGGUGGUGAUGGGGUUAUGGGGUGGUUAUGGGGUGAUGGAGCGGGGUUAUGGGGCUAUAGGGUGGGAUUAUGGGGUUAUGGGUGGGGUUAUGGGGUGGUUAUGGCGUGGUUAUGGGGUGAUGGAGUGGAGUUAUGGGGCUAUAGGGUGGGGUUAUGGGGUUAUGGGGUUAUGGGGUGGCUAUAGGGGCGGUGAUGGGGUGGUGAUGGGUUGAUGGAAUGGGGUUAUGGGGCUAUAGGGUGGGGUUAUGGGGUGGUUAUGGGGUGAUGGAGUGGGGUUAUGGGGUUGUGGGGUGGUUAUGGGGCUGCUUAUGGGGUUGUGGGGCUGAGUUGUGCAGCAGAGCCUCCCAGGGCCAUCUGUGGGGCAGAUCUAUGGGGCAGAGCCCCCUCAGUGCCAUCUAUGGGGCAGAUCUAUGGGGCAGAGCCCCCCCAGUGAAAUCUAUGGGGCAGAUCUAUGGGGCAGAGCCAUACCUGUGCCAUCUAUGGGGCAGAGCCCCCCCAGUGCCGUCUAUGGGGCAGAUCUAUGGGGCGAAUCUAUGGGGUACAGCCUCCCCAGUGAAAUCUAUGGGGCAGAGCCUCCUCAGUUACCAUCUAGGAAGCGGAUCUAUGGGGCAGAGCCCCCCCAGUGAAAUCUAUGGGGCAGAUCUAUGGGGCAGAGCCAUACCUGGCGGAUCUAUGGGGCAGAGCCCCCCCAGUGUCAUCUAUGGGGCAGAUCUAUGGGGCAGA
rnacentral:lncRNA from 1 species